GCCUGAGAGGGCGACCGGCCACACUGGGACUGAGACACGGCCCAGGACUCCUACGGGAGGCAGCAGUGGGGAAUAUUGCACAAUGGGCGGAAGCCUGAUGCAGCGACGCCGCGUGAGGGAUGACGGCCUUCGGGUUGUAAACCUCUUUCAGCAGGGACGAAGCGAGAGUGACGGUACCUGCAGAAGAAGCACCGGCCAACUACGUGCCAGCAGCCGCGGUAAGACGUAGGGUGCGAGCGUUGUCCGGAUUUAUUGGGCGUAAAGAGCUCGUAGGCGGCUUGUCGCGUCGACCGUGAAAACUUGGGGCUCAACUCCAAGCCUGCGGUCGAUACGGGCAGGCUAGAGUUCGGUAGGGGAGACUGGAAUUCCUGGUGUAGCGGUGAAAUGCGCAGAUAUCAGGAGGAACACCGGUGGCGAAGGCGGGUCUCUGGGCCGAUACUGACGCUGAGGAGCGAAAGCGUGGGGAGCGAACAGGAUUAGAUACCCUGG
rnacentral:rRNA from 1 species